GUGAGGAAUCUUCCACAAUGGGCGAAAGCCUGAUGGAGCAACGCCGCGUGAAGGAUGAAGGUCUUCGGAUUGUAAACUUCUUUUAUGAGUGAAGAAUAUGACGGUAACUCAUGAAUAAGCACCGGCUAACUACAUGCCAGCAGCCGCGGUCAUACGUAGGGAGCAAGCAUUCUCCGGAGUGACUGGGCGUAAAGAGUUGCGUAGGCGGUUAUGUAAGCGAAUAGUGAAACCUGGUGGCUCAACCACACAGACUAAUAUUCGAAAUGCAUAACUCGAGAAUGGUAGAGGUAACUGGAAUUUCUUGUGUAGGAGUUAAAUCCGUAGAUAUAAGAAGGAACACCAAUGGCGUAGGCAGGUUACUGGGCCAUUUCUGACGCUAAGGCACGAAAGAGUGGGGAGCGAACCGGAUUAGAAACCCCUGUAGUCC
rnacentral:rRNA from 1 species